rnacentral:rRNA from 1 species
UACGUAGGGGGCAAGCGUUGUCCGGAUUUAUUGGGCGUAAAGAGCGUGUAGGCGGCCAGACAGGUCCGUUGUGAAAACUCGAGGCUCAACCUCGAGAUGUCGAUGGAAACCGUCUGGCUAGAGUCCGGAAGAGGAGAGUGGAAUUCCUGGUGUAGCGGUGAAAUGCGCAGAUAUCAGGAAGAACACCAAUGGCGAAAAGCAGCUCUCUGGGACGGUACUGACGCUGAGACGCGAAAGCGUGGGGGAGCGAACAGG